GUAAUGGAGGAGUUUUUGCCAGUGGACCUGUCUGUGUUAGCUGUGCUUGUGCUAGCACGUCCACGCAUUGUAGUGACUGUGUUCAGGUGUCUGUGUUAGCUGUGCUUGUGCUAGCACGUCCACGCAUUGUAGUGACUGUGUUCAGGUGUCUGUGUUAGCUGUGCUUGUGCUAGCACGUCCACUCAUUGUGGUGACUGUGUUCAGGUGUCUGUGAACAGUGUCCAUAAACGUCUUUCAUUCCCCCAUAGUUUAUUCACCACCUCCGGAGUCCCUCACCAGCGCAAAUGACGAGGACACAAAAAACUCAAAUGUGGUGGGCUGGAUUAUUCAUGGUCUGGGCCGUAUGAUGCCGCAGCCGGCGUUGAAAGGAAGCGAUGAUUCCGGAGAGAAUGGUGGCAUUGUGGUACAAAAUGGGGGGAGAGCUCUGAGAGCCCCUUAAACAAAAGGAGAAAGAAGACUGAGGAACUGUCUGUAAAAAUCACAUGAUCUCACUUACAGAGCCACUUACAUCCCUUACGUUACAAUAGCAUUAGAAAAGACAGUAGUGCCCAUUUAUCAUUUUCAGAGAUGUUCAAGCUCGAAGGAGCAAUAAGGCAGCUUUACAUUGACUUUGAUGUUCUAAACAUGUACUCUAUUGUAUGGAGAAAAAUAUUUAUUUUUUCACGAGUUUGAUAUACUGUGAAUUGUGACAGUAGUUGUCAGAACUAUUUUAAUGAUAUAGUUUCAAAGCUUGAUUUUUAGAUUCAAAUGGGUUGUUUUCACUGCAGUGAUCAUCCUUGUAUACAUUUUAAAAUGUAAAAACUUCUAGUACUUGCACACUCUGUGCACUGCUUUAAUUGCACUACACUUUACUGUGUCUUUCCACGAUUAUACAUUUGAGAAUCUCUUAGCCAUAACAACCAAAGGAUGUGGCACAAAUCAAAAAAAUAUGUGUAUGAUAAAUGAUUAAUAUUUAGUUAUGUACAUCUUCUGACAAUUACAGGUGAGUAAUCAUACACAUUUGGACAUAAUUUGGAUUGCUG
ensembl:lncRNA